rnacentral:rRNA from 1 species
UACCAGCACCCCGAGUGGUCGGGACGUUUAUUGGGCCUAAAGCAUCCGUAGCCGGUUCUGCAAGUCUUCCGUUAAAUCCACCUGCUUAACAGAUGGGCCGCGGAAGAUACUAUAGAGCUAGGAGGCGGGAGAGGCAAGCGGUACUCGAUGGGUAGGGGUAAAAUCCGUUGAUCCAUUGAAGACCACCAGUGGCGAAGGCGGCUUGCCAGAACGCGCUCGACGGUGAGGGAUGAAGCUGGGGAGCAAACCGG